AUUAGUGACGCCACACACCUGCUCGUCUUCACGCAGGUGUUUCUCAAGCAGCUGAUUGCUUCCUCCUCCUCCUCUUCUUAUUAAAUCUCCAGCCAACAGUUCCGUGAUGUUACUUUGAAGAGAAGCUGCACGAGCCGUGGAAUGAAAAAAAAAAAAAGACACGAAAAAAGUGUCGCUGCUUAACUACUGAAACUGUUCCGGGAGGAGGGAACUUGUGGCGGUAAUGCACCAACCGCCAUGAAACCUCAAAAAAGGAGGGAACUUUAAAAUAAAGAAGAGGAAAAAAAAAGAGAAAACUACCGUGGCGUGACGUCAGACGCCGAAAAGGUGGUCGUGCAUCAGCUCCUGUAUAGAAACGCAGCAUGGCUGCUCCAGGAUGGCGUGUUCGACCUGGUCCAGAUUGGUGGCCCGUGCAGAAUGCCAAGAAUGUGCUACUCCAGAAACAAGCGUUGAAAGGAAGAGAAAGCCCAUCAAAUAUUACAACAGAUGCAAAGGUGUCGAUAACCUUGAUCAGGUUGUUGGCACCAACCCCUGCAGAAGCAGAAUGAGUGGCCACUGGCCCUUUUCACAACCUGGUUGACAUUUUACUGUACAACACCUUUAUCCUGUCGUGGGAGAGAUGCUGGUGACCCCCCAACACAUCGAGAGGAGAGGGCGCCUUCCCUGCUCAUCAGCUACUGCAGGAAUGGUUGCAUAUCUGCAGGGUGCUGCUGCUGCUGCAGGCCCUUUUCUCAUGAGUAAAUGUGAGGACAGGAAGUGGUGCCAUUUUUGUACUGAAAGAAAGACCAGAGUUGGCAGCACCUGCUGCAAAUGUGGGGAGUUUACAUGCAAAGACCACAGUCUGUCCAUUUGAAGUCUCUGCUCCACCUGAGCUGGACUCUCUCUCUCACAGACACAUGCUUACUCACUCACUCACCAUCUGCCAUCAGCCAUCUGUAUCUUUUGCCCUUUUCCCAACUUCAACAACACACCUAACUGCCCCAUGUUUCAUAUUCAAUUGUUCAUACUUCAGUGUUCAUCAUUUAAUGUUCAUCUCUGCAAAAUAAAUGUUUUUUUCUGGUUCAAACUAUUCAUUUAUUUGUUGU